CCACUUGCCCGGCUCUUGAAUAGGAAGUCCUUCUUGGAGUCUAACCUCAAGCCUUCAUGACAAGGCACAAGCCGGUGUUCCGCCUCUGUUGGAGUCUGAGGACAGAGGCGGACGAGACUACACUGGCUGUUGGGAGAAGCCGCCUCCCUGCAAGGGGAUGGGGCCAGGAGGGAGAUUACGGAGGCGCCGGGCCCAGGGCUCCGCCAUGCACCUGCCACGGCUCCAGUGAAGAUCAGGAACCUGCCAGCUUACCCCACCCCAUGAUCUCAUGGCUGUGCCUGCCAGGCGCUGGCUCAGGGAGCAGGUGCUGAUGGCAGGGCCUGGGCACAGAGCCCAAGGACAAGAAGGCGGGAAGGCUGCGAGGGCCAACAACAGGGCUGUCCCCGAAGGGCUCCAAUGCCAGGUCCCUCCGACCUCCGUGUGCUGCAGUUGGCUAGUGACCCACCGUCCAGGCUCCUCCUCCCAGGCCCCCUCCCACUGGGCAAUCCCCUAGACCAACGGAUACGGGGAGGAGAGGCUCCCUCUUCUUCCCCAAGCGUCAGUGUCUCCCUUAGCAUCUCUUUCAGCAUCUCCCUGCCCCCAACUGCUGGCCCCUGGGCGGGAUGCCACUGUUUUAAAGCAUGGAGUUUGUUGGGCGGGAGAUGAAUGGCCAAAUCCUAUCAUUCCUGAGGCUAAGUGCCAGUUUAUAAAGUGACUAUGAAGCCCCAAGUAGAUGCCUCUGUCCCAGUUUCGGGGCGUCCUUAGAGGUGAGGACUGGGCAGGAAUCAACCUCAGUCCCGUGUUCUCCUGUGUCUUGAUCCUCAGUCACUCCUUCCCCAAAGCUCCCCUCCACCCACCGCAAAAUCCACAAAAUCCAUGACUGAGGUCGAGACGCCCUCCGCCCAGCCUCAGCUGGAUAGGCGGCAGCCCGUGGAAGGCAGCAGGGGGACAUCUGGUGGUAAGCCCAGGCCUUGGCCUUCCUGAUUCCAUCCCAGGGGUGAAGGGUCACCAGGGGCUCUGGACCACCAGAGGCUCCAUUUGCCUCUUGAUUCCAAGGGGAAGCCCUCAACCUGGGCCCAGAGCUCUAUCCCUCAGGGUACUCGUUCUGUUCCCCACCUCACUGUCAUCUCAGCCCGGCCCCCUGCCCAUGCCUCCCUCCCCCCACCAGGGAGCUCCUACCCAGCCCCCCACCUUCCAGCAGCUCGGCCCUUCUUCUCUGCCCCAUCUCCUCCAGGGUUUGCCCCUCCCCCUCCUCAAACACCACACCAGCGCCAGUGCCCAGCUGUACCGCGGCCCCCACCUUGGACUGUGGGCUGAGAUGUGCCAGCCACCUUCCAGGGAAUCCCCGAAAACCAUGACAGCGCCCUCCCUCCAAUCCUGGCUGUGUCCUCAUCCCCCCUCCCCCCCCAACACACACACCAGUCCAUCCUUCCCUCCCCACCCCUGCCCUCCAGUCCCUCUCUGUAAAGGAAGGGGCUGGACUGAGGGCCUCUCUUGCUCAGGAGCUCUGUGAACUUGGUACUUCUCUACACUGCCCCAGGCCCAGGCCCAGGCCCAGGCCCAGCCCCAAAGCAGCCGAGCAUGGAGACAGGUUGACUGUGGGCCUGCUAUCUCCCCAUUAGCACCCUGGCCCCCCUGAGAAGGAGGCAGCAGGCCUGAUUAAGCACCCCCUGCACUUCUCAGAAUCCCCCUCCACCUCCCCAGGGGCUCCAUGCUUCCCCCUCAUCUCUCUCCCCAGACAUCCCAAGGGAAGACAGCCAGGCAGACCUGGGCCACACUCCUGGAGAGAGAACCUGGCUCAAGGCCGCACCAUAUUUCCAUGUCAUUUCCAAGUGGCCCCAGGUGGGCUGGGCAGGCGUGGGGCCGGACAAUCCCCACCCAGGAGGCAGGGCAAAUUCUCAGGGUAGCAGGUCACUGAGCCAAGGCUCUGGGGCACGGCUCCUAGGGACUGGCAGGUUCCAGAAUAAUGAUGCUGCUGGGAUGCGAGGCGCUUGCUGCUCCCCCUGCCUGCCCGCACCCCAAGGAAAGCCUUGUCCCUCCCCAGCCUGGUCCACACACACCCCUCACUCCACUCUGGGAAGCUUUCCCCAGCCAACCCCACCCAGCUCUUACCACCGCUUAUUCCGCGUCCCCUUGGCAAUUAGACCAGAGUUUUCCCUGUGUUCAGUUGUCCUCGGUUUAUGUGUUGCUUUGCAAACGUUCUCAGAAAGCUUCAUCUUCCACAGUCAUCACUAGCUGUGAGUCCCUCUCUCUGUUAAUUAAGCCCGUUUUGCCGGGAUAUGAGUCCCUGCCCUACAGAAGUGCCAAGAAAAGCUCUGGAAUCGAAGUCACAUCUCUCUUCCUGCAGCUUGUUUCCCUUGGGAAGCAACCCAUCUCAACAAUGAAAUUCUCAAAAAUCAGCAGCUUCUCCCCAAGUCCAAGUUCCUGCCUUGAUUGCCAGAGAGACCCCAGAUAAGGUUGCAUCAGAGCAGGAGUCUCCGGGGAGAACCUGGCAGGGGUCCGCUCUUCCUCAAGGGAAGCUUCUCCCUCCGGAGCACUGCAAACCUUCAGAGACCAGGUUCCCCCUUCCUGGCUGCU
rnacentral:lncRNA from 1 species